UCCGAGUUGACCCCGGCAGUCUUCCAUGAGUUCCCACCAUUACGUGCUGGCAACAUAGAACGAGGGUUGCGCUCGUUGCGGGACUUAACCCAACAUCUCACGACACGAGCUGACGACAACCAUGCACCACCUGUAUACCGACCUUGCGGGGCGACUGUUUCCAGACGUUUCCGGCAUAUGUCAAGCCUUGGUAAGGUUCUUCGCGUUGCAUCGAAUUAAUCCGCAUGCUCCGCUGCUUGUGCGGGCCCCCGUCAAUUCCUUUGAGUUUUAGCCUUGCGGCCGUACUCCCCAGGCGGGCCAUUUAAUGCGUUAGCGCCGGCACGGGAGGAGUCGACACCUCCCACACCUAAUGGCCAUCGUUUAGGGCUAGGACUAC
rnacentral:misc_RNA from 1 species